AGGUAAGGUGGAAGGAUUGUUGCCAUGACACCAGGCUUUGAUACUCCACUCAGGACUCUUGAACACCAUUGCUGCACCAGUGAGGACCCCAGUCUGAUACAUGGCACCGGCAUGGCGAGAUGAGACAGCCCAUCCACCUCUGCCAGAGAAGGACCAGUGAAGAGGGACCUGACCAGACCAACCAGAUGAUGUCCCUGACCAGGGAAGGAAACUGACUAUCAUUUCUGACUCAGAACCGAACAGAACUAACCCAGCCCA